rnacentral:rRNA from 1 species
GAUGAACGCUGGCGGCGUGCCUAAUACAUGCAAGUCGAGCGAACGGACGAGAAGCUUGCUUCUCUGAUGUUAGCGGCGGACGGGUGAGUAACACGUGGAUAACCUACCUAUAAGACUGGGAUAACUUCGGGAAACCGGAGCUAAUACCGGAUAAUAUUUUGAACCGCAUGGCUCAAAAGUGAAAGACGGUCUUGCUGUCACUUAUAGAUGGAUCCGCGCUGCAUUAGCUAGUUGGUAAGGUAACGGCUUACCAAGGCAACGAUGCAUAGCCGACCUGAGAGGGUGAUCGGCCACACUGGAACUGAGACACGGUCCAGACUCCUACGGGAGGCAGCAGUAGGGAAUCUUCCGCAAUGGGCGAAAGCCUGACGGAGCAACGCCGCGUGAGUGAUGAAGGUCUUCGGAUCGUAAAACUCUAUUAUUAGGGAAGAACAUAUGUGUAAGUAACUGUGCACAUCUGGACGGUACCUAAGCAGAAAGCCACGGCUAACUACGU